rnacentral:rRNA from 1 species
UACGUAGGGUGCGAGCGUUAAUCGGAAUUACUGGGCGUAAAGCGUGCGCAGGCGGUUUUGUAAGCCAGAUGUGAAAGCCCCGGGCUCAACCUGGGAACAGCAUUUGAGACUGGAGGACUUGAGGACGGGAGAGGAGAGUGGAAUUCCCAGUGUAGAGGUGAAAUUCGCAGAUAUCGGGAGGAACACCUAUGGCGAAGGCAGCUCGCUGGGACGGCACUGACGCUGAGACGCGAAAGCGUGGGGAGCAAACAGG